GCUCUGGUAGUAUAGUCCGGCCAAGUAUAGCGGCCUCUCGAGUCGCGGACCCGGGUCCAAAUCCCGGCCAGAGCACCA
rnacentral:tRNA from 2 species